AUGGCCUUGUUGGAGAGAAGGAAGGAGCUCGCCGUCAUCACCCCAUUAUCUAUCGUAGGGUUCAGGGUGAGGACGGUGGUGGACGGCGGUGGAUGGGUGCUCCCUGACUCAGCAUGGUUCCAUGGUGGGGACUUCCUGGGUGCCUUCCUCCUCGACGGCGACGACGACGACGACGAGGCCGCGGGCACGCGCUUCAGCAUGUCAAAAUUCAGGGCCUGCGCCUUCUCGUCCGCUCGCGGGGACCGCUGGACCUCCGGCGCCGGACGCGGCAGCACUACAGACUGCGGAUUGGGUACCGUCUACUUCGCAGGGAGCGACGACGGGUUCGCCUACUGGACGGCCGGAUACAACAUUGUUCUUACUCUGGACAAGGACGCCGCCGAGUUCACCUCUUCCGUCUUGCACGACGACGGGGAGUACGCCGCGCUCCAGAACAAGCACCACGUCACGGAGUACGCCUACCAUCAGCCGUGGCCACCUACGAUCGAAGCUUGUUUAUCCUAG
rnacentral:rRNA from 1 species